AUGACGGCGACGUCGACGUCGAGGGCUCUGCGGCGUCCCCGCAUCCGCUCCCGCGCGCCGCCGCCCACGCCGAUCCGGACGGCCCGCGGCGUGCGCUCCGCCGCGGCCGACGAGCUCGUCCUCGCCGAGUUCCUCGAGGCCUCCCAGCGCGUCCCCGCCCUCACCCUGCCCUUGCCCAGGAAGAAGCGGUUCGACUUCCCGGCCCCUCCGCCGGCCCCGGACAUCCCCUCGCAGGGCCUGCUGUCGGGCGAGGCGGCCGCCGCGCGGACGGCGGUCGGCGCCGCCGCGGAGGCCGGCGCGUUCCGCGUGGGCGGGGCGGUCGGGGCCGGCGAGGUUCGCGCUGCAGUGGUGGCCGCGGAGGCGAUGUUCGGGGCGCCGGAGCGGGUGAAGCGGGAGCUGGGGAGGUUGUUCCAGAGGAGGGAUCGGGUGGUCGGGGAGGAGCUCUACUUGCCAUGGCCGGUGAGCUCGGAGGUGGAUCGGUUGCUGGAGGCGGCCCUGUCCGUCUCGACGUACCGAGCGUUCAGGGAGAAGAUGGACGUUGUCGCGUCUAAAAUGGAGGGUCUCGCAAGAUGUGUGGUCAGAGUUCUAUCUGACAACGUCAAGAACUCGAAAGACUCUGCUCUGCCUAGAGAAGCCCCAUCGGUUCUCUGUCUAACGUUGUAUAACUGCAACAAGUUGAAAACACGUUGGGGAGAGUUCGGCACCACCGAUCGUCCAGACUCGUACGCCCUGAGCGUGCACCUCUCCGGACGCGACCAGGAAAUUUGCCUCCGGAACCAGGGCGGGUCGACCUUUUUCAAUCUGCCGGCUGGCUCUGCGCUUGUUACAGUCGGCAAGAAGAUUCAGGAAUGGUCCAAUGGGGAGUUCAAGAGCGCUGUUGGCGAGAUACUAUUUGAGCUGACCGACGAACCAAACCCGUUCAUGUCUCUGGAACUCUUGUACUCUCCAGGAGACCUGCGUCUCUGUGAGGUCGGGCGGCACGCUAGCUGCAUUGACCGUCCUCCCAAGACUAUUCCUUUGAGGGACCAGAUUUUCAUUGCGCUGGUUCUGCUGGUUUUAUACUACCUCUUCUGGUGA
rnacentral:rRNA from 1 species